rnacentral:rRNA from 1 species
GAUGAACGCUGGCGGCGUGCCUAAUACAUGCAAGUCGAGCGAACAGACGAGGAGCUUGCUCCUUCGACGUUAGCGGCGGACGGGUGAGUAACACGUAGGUAACCUACCUAUAAGACUGGGAUAACUUCGGGAAACCGGAGCUAAUACCGGAUAAUAUUUCGAACCGCAUGGUUCGAUAGUGGAAGAUGGCUUUGCUAUCACUUAUAGAUGGACCUGCGCCGUAUUAGCUAGUUGGUAAGGUAACGGCUUACCAAGGUAACGAUACGUAGCCGACCUGAGAGGGUGAUCGGCCACACUGGAACUGAGACACAGUCCAGACUCCUACGGGAGGCAGCAGUAGGGAAUCUUCCGCAAUGGGCGAAAGCCUGACGGAGCAACGCCGCGUGAGUGAUGAAGGUCUUCGGAUCGUAAAACUCUGUUAUUAGGGAAGAACAAACGUGUAAGUAACUGUGCACGUCUUGACGGUACCUAAUCAGAAAGCCACGGCUAACUACGUG